AUUGAACGCUGGCGGCAUGCUUUACACACGCAAGUCGAACGGUAACAGGUUAAGCUGACGAGUGGCGAACGGGUGAGUAAUGCAUCGGAACGUGCCCGAUCGUGGGGGAUAACGCAGCGAAAGCUGCGCUAAUACCGCAUACGAUCUGAGGAUGAAAGCGGGGGACCGUAAGGCCUCGCGCGAUCGGAGCGGCCGAUGUCAGAUUAGGUAGUUGGUGGGGUAAAGGCCCACCAAGCCGACGAUCUGUAGCUGGUCUGAGAGGACGACCAGCCACACUGGGACUGAGACACGGCCCAGACUCCUACGGGAGGCAGCAGUGGGGAAUUUUGAACAAUGGGCGAAAGCCUGAUCCAGCAAUGCCGCGUGCAGGAAGAAGGCCCUCGGGUUGUAAACUGCUUUUGUACGGAGCGAAAAGGUCCUUUCUAAUACAAGGGGCUCAUGACGGUACCGUAAGAAUAAGCACCGGCUAACUACGUGCCAGCCGCCGCCGUAA
rnacentral:rRNA from 1 species